CAUUAACGCAUCUGUAUACUAUCGUCGGGAAUCGAGGUGUUCGAUCGGCCGCCCGUAGUCUUUGGCCGCCGACACCUAACUUAGCAGGGCUUCUUUGGGGUAGACACCCGGUGUCUUUAAAUGUCGUCGCACGUCUCGGAGGGCCUUUCUAGUACCUCGACCGAUCGAAUCGCAUCCCGCUUCGUUCGGACGCAGCCUCGCGGCGUCCGCUGUCGCGUGAGGGCGCCCGAUGGAAGGCUAACGCGAACGCGUCGGUACGCUCGGGGCGAGUCGUUCGGUCGUACGCGGAACGAAAGGAGUUUUCUUUCCGAGACUGCCACCCGGCCCCGUUUGUCUUUUUUUCGUCAACGUGCUUGCGACUGUAACGUAUCGAGAGAGAAAAAGGAAAAACGAGAGACAACUUUUAACGGUGGAUCUCUUGGCUCGUGCAUCGAUGAAGAACGCAGCCAGCUGCGAUAAGUAGUGUGAAUUGCAGAAUUCAGUGAAUCAUCGAAUCUUUGAACGCAAAUGGCGCUCUCGGGUUCUCCCGGGAGCACGUCCGUCUGAGUGUCGGCAUACCUUGCCAUCGCGCGAGAAGACCGCGCGGCGUUGAGGUGUCGCGGCGGCCGGCCGCGUCCCUCGAAGUGCAGGAGAACCGCUGGUUAGUGAUCCCCGGAGGCCGAAGAGACGUUGGUCCCCCGGAAAUCCGCAGCCUGCUCGGUUCGACGGUAGUGACGACCCCUCGAAUCUCGACCUCAGAUCGGGCGAGACCACCCGCUGAAUUUAAGCAUAUCAAUAAGCGGAGGAAAAGAAACUAACAAGGAUUCCCCCAGUAACGGCGAGUGAA
rnacentral:rRNA from 1 species